rnacentral:lncRNA from 1 species
CUUAUAUCAACUGCAGCUUCUACUACAGUUUAAAUGGCUAGAAUCCCCAAUUUAGUCUCUAAAAACUUCUUGGGAUCUUCAUUUCCCAUCUCUCAAGUAAACCAGGUUUUACUAUAAGGCCUCAAGGCUAACUUCACAUUCAAAGAGUAGAAAAAUUAUACUAACUUCUCAGGCAAGCUAUGGUUUUAUAGAGUUUUACUUUUGAGGACGGAGACCCCUUUCUUCAAGGAUGUGAAUUCGAGGGGAACUUAUGAGACACAGAAUGCUCAGGAAGAAAACAGACUCAUAACUUCACUUUGUGCAGUUGGUGGGUGUGGUGGAUUCUCCAGAGAUAUUAACAAGCACAGAGGAGAAGCCCACCACUUAAUCCCACAGCUGUGUGGAUAGUUUCAUAGGAUUUCUGAAAACCUUUUCCAAGAAAAAGUAGAGACCAGAAUUGAAACAUUUGGAAACAGGUUCAGAUGAGACAGAUCUAGAACAGGGUCCGAAGAUUCAGAAAAGUCUGAUAUGGAAACAAUGCUGUUUCUUUCAAUGUUUGGAGAGAGAGAUUCUCAGAAGCAGAAGACACACAUUCAAGGAGCCUACAUUCCCUGUGCUCUCUCCCUGUGUUCCAGAAUAUUUAUCCAUGAAUCUCUGUUCCAGCGAGGGACAAUUUCAGUUAGUGAGACAACG